GUAAGGAAUAUUGGUCAAUGGGCGCAAGCCUGAACCAGCCAUGCCGCGUGCAGGAAGACGGCCCUAUGGGUUGUAAACUGCUUUUGUCAGGGAAUAAACCCCCGCUCGUGAGCGGGGCUGAAGGUACCUGAAGAAUAAGCAUCGGCUAACUCCGUGCCAGCAGCCGCGGUAAUACGGAGGAUGCAAGCGUUAUCCGGAUUCAUUGGGUUUAAAGGGUGCGCAGGCGGAUUGGUAAGUCAGGGGUGAAAUCCCACAGCUCAACUGUGGAACUGCCUUUGAUACUGUCAGUCUAGAGUAUAGUUGAAGUUGGCGGAAUGUGUCAUGUAGCGGUGAAAUGCUUAGAUAUGACACAGAACACCGAUCGCGAAGGCAGCUAGCUAAGCUAUAACUGACGCUCAUGCACGAAAGCGUGGGGAUCAAACAGGAUUAGAAACCCCGGUAGUCC
rnacentral:rRNA from 1 species